rnacentral:tRNA from 1 species
GUUUUCGUAGUUAAAAAAUAACGCUGGUUUUUCAAGUCAGUGUUCCUGGUUAAAAUCCUGGCGAAAAUU